AACGAACGCUGGCGGCAGGCCUAAAACAUGCAAGUCGAACGAACCUUCGGGUCAGUGGCGCACGGGUGCGUAACGCGUGGGCAUAUACCUCUGGGUGCGGAACAACGUCUGGAAACGGACGCUAAUACCGCAUAAUAUCUACGGAUCAAAGAUUUAUCGCCCAGAGAUUAGCCCGCGUCUGAUUAGCUAGUUGGUGAGGUAAUGGCUCACCAAGGCGACGACCAGUAGCUGGUCUGAGAGGAUGAUCAGCCACCCUGGAACUGAGACACGGUCGCGACUCCAACGGGAGGCAGCAGUUGGGAAUAUUGGACAAUGGGGGAAACCCUGAUCCAGCCAUGCCGCGUGAGUGAAGAAGGCCUUAGGGUUGUAACGCUCUUUCGGCUGUGAAGAUAAUGACAGUAGCAGAAGAAGAAGCGCCGGCUAAAUUCGUGCCAGACGCCGCCGUAA
rnacentral:rRNA from 1 species